UGUUGACGAUCCCCCAUUCUCCUUUCUCUUAUUACACACACACACACACACAUAGACACACUAGAAGAGGACACACAUGGAACGUCCCGAUGAGCCAGCAAUUUCGCACGUAGCCAACGUUUUUCACUGUUCUAUCCAACACCAUUCUUUAUACAGCCAGGCCCUCCUUGUGUGUGUGUGUGUGUAUAGCAUCGAAGAGCAAAGGCUCGUUUGACAGGAGCGUUUCAAAACAAUCUUUUGAUGAGCAUAUUUUUAUUUUUCCUUCGACAAAAAAAAAAAAAUGCGUAGAUCGGUAUGCCGUCACGUGAUGUUCACCGAAGGAACACGGGACGAUGAUUGGAGCACCUUGUUCCCUUUUUUGCGCUUGACAUCCACACACCGAAAUGUCUUGUGUUCGCAUGGGCGAGGCAAUGCAAACAUCCGCUCCCUCUCUUUUUCAAAUUUUUUCAAGAGAUCCAAUAUACGAGUAUAUAGGUCUAACUAUUUGCAUGUCCCUCUAUUUUUUUGUUUGGGGGGGUCCUCACAUCUCAUUUUCCAGGGAUAACAUCAAAUCAUCAGGACAACAUCCUGUUCCAUUAUGGGCUCCAUGUCCUCCCCCUCUUUAAAAACCCCAAAAAUUCACACUGCACUCCGCAGAAAUGAACGAGGCACAACGGCGAGUAGGACAUAGCAAAACAAAACGAAACGCUGUAUUUAUUUGGCCUAUUCUUCGCUGACAACACACAUCGACCCUACCUGGAACGGACUAUACAAUUCUUCCAUUACACACAACGUCAUCGAUGAGCUCCGCCCUUAUUUUUGUUGUUGUUGUUGUUGCCGUAUAGACUUGAAGGAUGUGUUGCUGUCGUUGGUGUUGGUGUAUGCAGCCAAACAAGAACGGAAGUAACCACUUUUCAGAAACGACAAUCUUGCGAGAUGUUUAUAUAGGUCGAACAGGAAACAUCAAACAGGAUAUUCUUACGUCGUUUUCCUAACCACUCCUAGUAUUGAAAAUAUUCUGUGGAAAUGAUGAAACGCGGAAAAUAAAUAGUUAUCCCACUAAUAGUCCCCACCCCCCUAUUUCUCCUAAUCCGGUGGGAGGACAUCCAUCGCGUGAUCGAACGUGCCAAUCACUGCGGAAAUAGCACGGGCUAAAAUGUAAUAAUAAAUGAACACACACAAAAAAUGGUUGCGUGCUGUGCGUUAUGUGUAAUACAAGAGACACUGUCUGGCAAAAAUCCACAAUACACACACAAAGGGGAAAGCUGA